rnacentral:tRNA from 1 species
GCGGGUGUGGCGUAAUUGGCAGCCGCGCCAGACUUAGGAUCUGGUGACGAAAGUCGUGAAGGUUCGAGUCCUUUCACCCGCA